rnacentral:rRNA from 1 species
CGGGGGAGCAAGCGUUGUUCGGAUUACUGGGCGUAAAGGGCGCGUAGGCGGCCUCUGCGAGUCGACUGUGAAAUCUCCGGGCUUAACCCGGAACGGUCAGCCGAUACUGCAGGGCUAGAGUGCAGAAGGGGCAACUGGAAUUCUCGGUGUAGCGGUGAAAUGCGUAGAUAUCGAGAGGAACACCUGCGGCGAAGGCGGGUUGCUGGGCUGACACUGACGCUGAGGCGCGAAAGCUAGGGGAGCGAACGGGAUUAGAUACCCCGGUAGUCCUAGCCUUAAACGAUGAAUGCUUGGUGUCUGGGGUUUUAUAGUCCCCGGGUGCCGUCGCUAACGCUUUAAGCAUUCCGCCUGGGGAGUACGGUCGCAAGACUG